UACGGAGGGUGCAAGCGUUAAUCGGAUUUACUGGGCGUAAAGCGCGCGUAGGCGGUUACAUAAGUCGGGUGUGAAAGCCCCGGGCUCAACCUGGGAAUUGCAUUCGAUACUGUGUAGCUAGAGUUUGGGAGAGGGAAGUGGAAUUCCGGGUGUAGCGGUGAAAUGCGUAGAUAUCCGGAGGAACACCAGUGGCGAAGGCGACUUCCUGGCCCAAAGCUGACGCUGAGGUGCGAAAGCGUGGGGAG
rnacentral:rRNA from 1 species